rnacentral:tRNA from 1 species
GGAAUAGCUCAGUUGGUAGAGCACGACCUUGCCAAGGUCGGGGUCGAGAGUUCGAGUCUCGUUUCC